rfam:Schistosoma mattheei strain Denwood, Zambia genome assembly, scaffold: SMTD_scaffold0002017
AUCUAGUUAAAGAGUCCCAAAUCGGACGAAACACGCGUCCUAAAU